CAGGAGUUGACGUUAGUUCACUUAACAGGUUCUCCAAACAGAACCCGUUAAUUUCUGUAGAACUUGAGGAGUUUUCCAUCACCAUCCACAUGACCAAAUGUCCCUCCUGGAUGCAAUGGCUGCUGCAUGCCAGGACAUCACAGCUGACAACUGCCAGGGCUGGAUAAGGCAUGCAAAAAGAUACUUCCCAAGAUGCCUGGCCGGAGAAGA